GUCUGGGACGAAGGGGUGGGGGGCAGAGCCGCUCCGCCCGCCAGCCCCGCCCUCACCAGGCCCCUCCUCCUGCCCUCUCCGCGGCGCAUUGUGGGAUCUGUCCGCGGGCCUGGCCGCGGAGGAAGAGGUGCGCGGUCAUGGGCCUCCAGCCGAGCCCAGUCCUUCUGGCCUCCCUGGGGGUGGGGCUGCUGACUCUGCUCGGCCUGGCUCUGGGCUCCUACUUGAUUCGGAGGUCCCGCCGGCCAAAGGUCACUCUCCUGGACCCCAAUGAGAAGUACCUGCUGCGACUGCUAGACAAGACGACUGUGAGCCACAACACCAAGAGAUUCCGCUUUGCCCUGCCCACCGCCCACCACAUUCUGGGGCUGCCUGUGGGCAAACAUGUCUACCUCUCUGCCCGGAUUGAUGGCAGCCUGGUCAUCAGGCCAUACACUCCUGUCACCAGUGACGAGGACCAAGGCUACGUGGAUCUUGUCAUCAAGGUCUACCUGAAGGGUGUGCACCCCAAAUUUCCCGAGGGAGGGAAGAUGUCUCAGUACCUGAAUAGCCUGAAGAUUGGGGAUGUGGUGGAGUUUCGAGGGCCCAGCGGGUUGCUCACUUACACCGGGAAAGGGAAUUUUAGCAUUCAGCCCAACAAAAAAUCUCCACCAGAACCCCAAGUGGCGAAGAAACUGGGGAUGAUUGCCGGCGGAACAGGAAUCACCCCGAUGCUACAGCUGAUCCGGGCCAUCCUGAAAGACCCUGAAGAUCCAACCCAGUGCUCCCUGCUUUUUGCCAACCAGACUGAAAAGGACAUAAUCUUGCGGGAGGACCUGGAGGAGCUGCAAGCCCGAUAUCCCAGUCGCUUUAAACUUUGGUUCACUCUGGAUCACCCCCCAGAAGGUUGGGCCUACAGCAAGGGCUUUGUGACGGCCGACAUGAUCCGGGAGCACCUGCCCGCCCCAGGGGACGACGCUCUGCUACUGCUCUGUGGACCACCCCCAAUGGUGCAGCUGGCCUGCCAUCCCAACUUGGACAAACUGGGCUACUCACAAAAGAUGCGAUUCACCUACUGAGCAUCUUGCUCCACGGUCCUGUUUCCUGGUCCUGUUCCCUGCAAUUGUCCUCAGCUGGAAGGAGAUGGCUACCCACAAUCGAAGAGAGCUGCUUGUGGCAGAAACCUCUGGCUAUGCAAAUAAAUGGGGCUCAGGCCCCUGUGUUAUACCUAAGGGGUUGUUGUGUUUGUUUCUAAGGCUUUUUGCGCCUGGGAAUCCUGGGAGGAAGCAUUUCCCAGCACAGAAUUUCUCCCAGGCCUCCCAGAGAACCUUUGAGUGCUAGGGCCAUGUGCUGAAAUACGACCUGCCACCAAACUCAGGGAUCACUUAACAGCUGCCUCAGCAGAGCCAGAAGCUCACCUUCUCCCCGGAGGCUUUUAAGGGUGGGGGGAGGAGAACACAAGUUGGAGGGGAUGCUUUUUGAACCCAGGUAUGAUCACAGUGGUCCCUUGGUUUGGCCAGUCUUUCCCUGCCUUCUCUUGGCCUUUCCUUCACUGUACUUCUACUUCAGGGUACCUGGCAAACAAACUAAAGUAUUGUCUUUCUGUUUGGAAGAGAAACUUUCUCCUUUAAAUAGUAACCUGAUGGCACCACCAGCCCCAGCCAGACUUGUUGGUGCCUGGAGAGAGUUGGCCUCCCCCAGGCCCAUCUAUCCUGACUGCCCUUCACCUCCGCUAUGGGAAUUCACUGCCUUCUCCCAGGGUUGGACUAGGGCAGCUUCCUCAGAUCUUUGCUAGUCCCAUUGGGACAGAACAGUGAAUCAAUCUUAGGAGGAAGGUCAACAUUGCUUCUCUGCAUGGAACUAUGUGUUGCUUUCCCUGGGGCCCCAAAAGAAAGGCUUGUGGGACCUGCAGAAUUCACCCCUCCAAUACAGCAGAGUCAUCAAUAAAUACUGUUACUAGUAUUCCAUCAAACAUUUCUUGAUCAGUUGGGAUGUGUAUGCCACUGUGCUCUGUGAGACACACUUGGCCACCUCACCUCCAAAAAGAAAGAUCUUGGGGCGCCUGGGGGGCUCAGUUGUUAA